GACUACAUGAAGCUGGAAUCGCUAGUAAUCGCGGAUCAGAAUGCCGCGGUGAAUACGUUCCCGGGUCUUGUACACACCGCCCGUCACACCAUGGGAGUCGGAAAUGCCCGAAGCCUGUGACCCAACCCGCAAGGGGGGGAGCAGUCGAAGGCGGGGCCGGUGACUGGGGUGAAGUCGUAACAAGGUAGC
rnacentral:rRNA from 1 species